rnacentral:rRNA from 1 species
GAUCCUGGCUCAGGAUGAACGCUAGCGACAGGCUUAACACAUGCAAGUCGAGGGGCAGCAUAAAAGUAGCAAUACUUUGGUGGCGACCGGCGCACGGGUGAGUAACGCGUAUGCAACCUACCUAUCAGAGGGGAAUAACCCGGCGAAAGUCGGACUAAUACCGCAUAAAACAGGGACACCGCAUGGUGAUAUUUGUUAAAGAAAUUCGCUGAUAGAUGGGCAUGCGUUCCAUUAGGUAGUUGGUGAGGUAACGGCUCACCAAGCCGACGAUGGAUAGGGGAACUGAGAGGUUGGUCCCCCACACUGGUACUGAGACACGGACCAGACUCCUACGGGAGGCAGCAGUGAGGAAUAUUGGUCAAUGGGCGAGAGCCUGAACCAGCCAAGUCGCGUGAAGGAAGAAGGAUCUAUGGUUCGUAAACUUCUUUUGCAGGGGAAUAAAGUGCAGGACGUGUCCUGUUUUGUAUGUACCCUGAGAAUAAGGAUCGGCUAACUCCGUGCCAGCCGCCGC